rnacentral:rRNA from 1 species
UACGUAGGCAGCGAGCGUUGUUCGGAGUUACUGGGCGUAAAGGGUGUGUAGGCGGUUGUUUAAGUUUGGUGUGAAAUCUCCCGGCUCAACUGGGAGGGUGCGCCGAAUACUGAAUGACUUGGAGUGCGGGAGAGGUGAGUGGAAUUCCUGGUGUAGCGGUGAAAUGCGUAGAUAUCAGGAGGAACACCGGUGGUGUAGACGGCUCACUGGACCUAACUGACGCUGAGACACGAAAGCGUGGGUAGCAAAACAGG